rnacentral:rRNA from 1 species
GCUUCCCUCUUUCUUCGUGCCUAAUACAUGCAAGUCGAGCGAACAGACGAGGAGCUUGCUCCUCUGACGUUAGCGGCUGACGGGUGAGUAACACGUGGAUAACCUACCUAUAAGACUUGGAUAACUUCGGGAAACCGGAGCUAAUACCGGAUAAUAUAUUGAACCGCAUGGUUCAAUAGUGAAAGACGGUUUUGCUGUCACUUAUAGAUGGAUCCGCGCCGCAUUAGCUAGUUGGUAAGGUAACGGCUUACCAAGGCAACGAUGCGUAGCCGACCUGAGAGGGUGAUCGGCCACACUGGAACUGAGACACGGUCCAGACUCCUACGGGAGGCAGCAGUAGGGAAUCUUCCGCAAUGGGCGAAAGCCUGACGGAGCAACGCCGCGUGAGUGAUGAAGGUCUUCGGAUCGUAAAACUCUGUUAUUAGGGAAGAACAAAUGUGUAAGUAACUAUGCACGUCUUGACGGUACCUAAUCAGAAAGCCACGGCUAACUACGUG